UGAGGAAUAUUGGUCAAUGGGCGCAAGCCUGAACCAGCCAUGCCGCGUGCAGGAAGACGGUCCUAUGGAUUGUAAACUGCUUUUUAUUUGGGAAUAAACCUCCUUACGUGUAGGGAGCUGAAGGUACCAAAUGAAUAAGCACCGGCUAACUCCGUGCCAGCAGCCGCGGUAAUACGGAGGGUGCAAGCGUUAUCCGGAAUCAUUGGGUUUAAAGGGUCCGCAGGCGGAUUUAUAAGUCAGUGGUGAAAGCCUACAGCUUAACUGUAGAACUGCCAUUGAAACUGUAAGUCUUGAAUUCGGUCGAAGUGGGCGGAAUAUGACAUGUAGCGGUGAAAUGCUUAGAUAUGUCAUAGAACACCGAUAGCGAAGGCAGCUCACUAGGCCUGGAUUGACGCUCAGGGACGAAAGCGUGGGGAGCAAACAGGAUUAGAUACCCCCGUAGUCCCUGAGCGGGCUGGCAAGGCGCAU
rnacentral:rRNA from 1 species